rnacentral:rRNA from 1 species
UCAGUCAACAGAGCUCCUUCGGGUGUGGAAGUGGAGACGGGUGAAGUACGCGUGGGAACGUGCCUUUCGGUUCGGAAUACUAGGGAAACUUGGGCUAUACCGGAUCGCCCUUCGGGGGAAAGAUUAUCGCCGAAAGAUCGGCCCGCGUCAGAUUAGCUAGUUGGUGGGGUAUGGCUCACCAAGGCGACGAUCUGUAGCUGGUCUGAGAGGAUGAUCAGCCACACUGGGACUGAGACACGGCCCAGACUCCUACGGGAGGCAGCAGUGGGGAAUAUUGGACAAUGGGCGAAAGCCUGAUCCAGCCAUGCCGCGUGGGUGAAGAAGGCCCUAGGGUUGUAACCCCUUUAGCGGGGAG